rnacentral:rRNA from 1 species
AUUGAACGCUAGCGGCAUGCCUUACACAUGCAAGUCGAACGAGUGGCGGACGGGUGAGUAAUAUAUGGGAACGUGCCCAGUAGCGGGGGAUAACUACUCGAAAGAGUGGCUAAUACCGCAUACUAUUGGCUCGGCCGAUAUCGGAUUAGCUAGUUGGUGGUGUAAAGGCUCACCAAGGACACGAUCCGUAGCUGGUCUGAGAGGAUGACCAGCCACACUGGGACUGAGACACGGCCCAGACUCCUACGGGAGGCAGCAGUGGGGAAUAUUGGACAAUGGGGGAAACCCUGAUGCAGCCAUCCCGCGUGUAUGAGAAGGCCUUCGGGUUGUAAAGUACGUUUGGCGGGGAGGCGGUAUCUGCAGAAUAAGCACCGGCUAACUACGUGCCAGCAGCCGCGGUAAUUC